UCCAGCUCUUUUGGGACUACAACUCCCAUCAUCCCUUGCUAAUGGGACAAAUGGUCAGGGAUGAUAGGAAUUGUAGUCCCAAAACAGCUGGA